UUACACUGACCACAAUCUGCGCUCAUCAUCAUCAUUAUUAUUAUUAUUAUUUUUGGAGACAGAAUCUCACUCUGUUGCCCAGGCUGGAAUGCAGUGGUGCUAUCUGGGUUCACUGCAACCUCUGCCUCUCAGGUUCAAGCAAUUCUCGUGCCUCAGCCUCCUGAGUAGCUGGGAUUACAGGUGCCCACAACUACACCUGACUAAUUUGGCUAAUUUUUUAUAUUUCAGUAGAGACAGGGUUUUCACCAUAUUGCCCAGGCUGGUCUCAAACUCCUGACCUCCGGUGAUCCACCCACCUCAGCCUCCCAAAGGGUUGGGAUUACAGGCGUUAGCCACUGCGCCUGGCCUGGGCUAAUAAUUAACAUACACACAUCUCAGACAAACAUGCAGUCAGACUCACACACACACACACAUUCUCUCUCUCUCCCUAUCUCUUUGCCACCUCGCUCACACACACACACACACACACACACACAUUCUCUCUCUCUCCCUAUCUCUUUGCCACCUCGCUCACACACACACCACACAACACACAACACACACUAUCAUUCUCUUCUCUCUCGCCAUCUCUUUGUUGUC
rnacentral:lncRNA from 1 species